UAAAACUGGUGAACCACACAAAAUCUGUU
rnacentral:sRNA from 1 species